AGACUUUACUGGUAUCCCUAUGAGCGAGACCUUUUUUUCCUUUUGACAGAUGAGGCAGUUUUCACACAGGUUGAAGUGACUUCCCUAAGGUCAUAUAGCUUGAACUUAAUACGAGUGAAGGGCUAGAGCCCUAGUCCAGUCUGACCCAAGUUCAGGACUCUUUUUGCUCCUUAGUGCUAUCUAUCCAAACCAGGUUAAAUGAACUCCAAAGACCCGUUUAGCUUUACCACGCUCUGAUUCUGUGAUAUAUUAGCAAUAUCCUGCUUACAUCAUCCAUUCUACAGCUACGAGCUUCUAUCCCUCUAUGGCUCUGUGGCCACUGGCUUGACGUGGAGGGGAGAAGGAGAUUAAGUAGAGGGGCCAAUUAGUUUUGGACCGGUUGGUAAAUGUUUCACAACAUCUUUGAGUUUGUCCCUCUCUCCUUUGAUGAAUGGCUCUUGCCUCUUUUUGACAGAUUGAUCUUGAGUGCUGGGUGUUUUUCGCUCACCACAUUAGCUGCCAGUUUUCCAGGCUAUCCCCCCAGGACUGAGAUGAGGUGAGAGGUGGUUCAAUGAACGAGACAGAAAAUAUCAAUUAUUGAUGAGAAUAUGGAGCACUUGGAGUUCUUAUACACUGCUAGCUGGAAUGCCAAAUGAGUACAAGCGACUCUGCCAGUACCCUGCAAGCUGAACCUAAUCAACGAGUUGGCAAGUCUACUCCUAGGGGAAGCCUGCCACCAGGUCACGUAGCCCCGUGGAGACGCCUGCAUGGUGAGGAACUGAGGCCUGCCCAAAACCACAGGAAUGAUCUUGGAUGUGGAUCUUCCAGCCCCAGAUGAAAACAUUGAAACUAAAGAAUGAAACACGUGCUGGUCAAAGUCACAGCUCUCUGAAGUAUUAGAGCUGCAACUUGAACCCAGUCUGUCUGGAUAAUUCCAGUAAGCCAGGCUUAGUCAGAACUUGAGGUGGAAAUUCAGAGAUGAAAAGGCCAAGUUUCCUGUCCUCAAGAAAUUGCUGGUGUGAUCAGGUCGAGUUGUAAAAAUAUGAUCCACCAAGAACCAAGAUCCCCUGGAGAGGAAGCCAAUUUGCAGCCCUAAAAAGAAGCUAAAAUUGAACGCAUAUUGUAAUUCAAUGCAUUAUUGAAUGCAUGUAACAAGGAAAACCACGUUCAGAAAUGUGAGCCAAUUUGACUCAGAAUCCAUCAAGCCAUAUUAUCACCAACCUCCAUGUCGUCCUACAAGCAUUUGAGUGGCUUCCCUGUACAAGAGAGAGAGGGAGAGAGAGAGAAUCCCAAGCAGGCUCCACGCUCAGCAGGGAGCCUAACAUGGGGCUGGAUCCCAAGACCCUGGGAUCAUGACCUGAGUCAAAAUCAAGAGUUGGACAGUCUACCGACUGAGCCAUCCAGGCAUCCCUAAGAGAUGUCUGUCAUUGUGAAAUUGGAAGCUCUAAUCUCUGCUUUCUGUGUCUGUAUUACACCUUGCCUUCUUUCCCCCGACAUGUGCCUGGAGAGCCAAGUAUCAGGAAGAGAAAAUUGGGGCCCAGAGAAGGACGCAAGGACAGCAGGAAUGCAUGUGCACAGAGGAAAGGCCACAGAGGACACAGCAGGAAGGCAGCCAUCUGCAAGCCGAGGAGGGAGGCCCCAGGAGACCUCAAACCUGCUGACAUCUUGAUCUUGGCCACUAAAAUUUUCAUCCUAUCACAGCCUAGAAGAAAGGGGCUCAACCGUGAAAUGAGAGAUGAAAUGAAGGAACCAGUCGUGAAGGUGCGAGGAGAACGGAAUACUGAAGAGAGCACUGGAAGCUCAGGCGGUCAUCAGAGGGGCAGGCUCCAUAUUGCUGCCUGGCAUCAGAUGCAGACGUGCUGUUCUAGUGCGAGCUUUGUCCUUCAUCAGCUCUGUCCCUGCAGCAAGCUGUCUCCACCCUUACCUGGAUCAUGUGAUCGUUCUGCUUCUCUAGGAGACAAAGCUGCACGAUGCAGCUUGGAACGUAAUACACAGCCUUUGCUAUGCAGCCAGAAUUCCUGCUGCGUAUGCCUCGGUCCCUUCAGGCAGAGAAGCUACAAAAGUACUGAGUGAAGAGGAAAGACACUCCUGGUCUCCAAACAGAGUUGAUCAGGGCAGAAGGAGAAGGGAGAGUCUUUAUGUAACUUGUUCCAAAAGGCCAUUAAAUAGUGUCUGGUUUUAACCUUCUAAA